ACAGGGAGAUACUUGAGCAAGAAGACCUGCAGGAUAUUGCAUACAGGUUGUGUUUAAUGGCCUUGUGUAAACGGACAGUCUCCCAAAAACAAAACACCAAAACAUUACACUUGAACUUAAGACUAGACUACAUGACAGAGCAAUCCAAAGCUCUGCCCGGCGGGCUGGUGAUGUGUUUUGAUGUAAAUCAGCACUGAGGGCGGAUAUUGCUAUUGCUGCUGCUGCUGCUGCUGGUGGGAAGGUGGCUGAGCCUGAGUAAUUAUAUCAUUAGAGCAACUCCUGUGAAAGAGCAUGUCAUUUAAACCCGGGGGUGGCGGGCUAUGGACGGGAUGAAUGGUAGUAAUUGUCACCCGGGGCUACAUAUAAUUGCAGAGAGAGGGAAAGAGGAUUAGGAGCAGCCAAAGCUAGUCGGUGCCGCUGGGACUCGACUCUUGAGUCAGAUGAAGCCUGUGUGCCAAGCAGCCAUUCAGCCCUGCGAGAUGAAGUCCAAGCCACAAGGUGGAGAUCCGACAGCGCUGGGAGCCCAGAACGGCCGUUCCCUACUGACCUCGGCACAUGUGCGCUCCCAGAGGGUCACAACAUCCUGCUCACUGACCACAACAUCCAAACAAACUCUUUUAUGACAUUAUCAGCAACAGGAAACACACAACACCCCUGGGUGCCCAGAAAGGCUUAUUCCAACAUGAUCUUGUUUAGUUGCUUCAUGUGCUUCUUUCACUGUUACUGUUAUAGCGUUUCUCUGCACUAGGUCCUCAGUAUUGCCUUUGAACAUUUUUUUCCACCUCAUUGCACAAACACUGAUAAACAAGUGGCAGGCAAACAUCCUGAGUGGUAUUACGCUCAAUAGCAGGUGCUUGGUGUUCCUGUAAACUGCUCUGGUCGAGUGGAAAGGUAAACAGCACAACCUGAUGACAAAUCUCUGGACGCAUGCCUUGAGAUAACACCGAUGGCAAACAAGAGGCGCGCUGCAGCACAUUGCAAAGGCGUUUGGAGGUGUCGGCCUCUCUGCAUCUUUUUCUGUGGGAAAAAAAGCGACAACACAAGUGCAGUGUCUCUCCCACACACAGGUUUAUAUGCAUAUACUGAAUUUUCUUAUGAGAUCUCUUGCUUGCAACUGAGUGCCAACUGGAGGUAUGCCACAAAAGGAGAGGGAGCACAGGGAUAUUGAAUCAUCAGACAGUACUAAGCUGAGAUAAUGUCUUUGGUCCACUGGCUGUGAAAGCAAGCGAGCAGUUGGAUCACCGAGCCACCCACCUCACACCGUCUGUCUUUGCAAACGACUUUCUUCUGUCAAUCAAGACUUUAUUACAGGAUAAAGUGCACAAAUACAGCUCAUCCCAAAGGAAAAACAUGAACAUGACUCUUGAGCCCCACAAGUUCAGGCAUGUGAACAGCAAAGAGAAAUGUAAUACAACUUGCAAAUUGCUUUUGAGAAUACUGGCACAAAACAAUCAGAUUGUGGGGGAAUUUUUUCUCACUUACAGUGCUUCCUUUGGAUGUCAAUCUGUCAGGCAGGAAAUACCACCAUGAGCCGACACUGAUAAGGACAAGAAGCUGAACCACGGCCACGUGGUAAACGAUGCCAGAAAAUAGGGGUAACAUAUACUCUGGUAUGCUCUGUGUUUACGUACGUGUACGGUAUGUACGGCUUUAGUAUGCAUGCACCGUGGAAAUCUUUGUAAUGCUUUAAUGUAUCCAAAGCACAUCAUGAACAAUUAUCAAGUUGUUUAUCUGACUCUGAAAUGUAGCUGCGAGCAAGACGAUUUUUUGAGAGUUCGAUGAGACGAUUGAUACUCUCAUGUGCAGUAAGCUACAGCGAGCAGCCAUUUGGCAUGGCACAAAGACUGGAAACAGCUCGCCUGGCUUUGGUCAAAGUUCAAAUAUUUACUUUCAAACAAAUACCUCUAAAGCUCAUGAAUUAACAUGUUAUAUUUUGUUUGUUUAUUUGGAAAGAAAACAUGUGUAAAGGCCCAGAUUGCUCAUUGCCUGCAAAUAGUCUGCUACCUAACAAUGUUUUUGCUUUUGCACCUCUUCUGUACACAUAAAACAAACAAGUUUUGUGGCCAUGUUUUACAUUCUUUCAGAUCUUUCAGCCACAUCUUGUGACUUUCAUUGGAGGGGGAAUUUGCCAUUGAGAGAGAA